UACGAAGGGGGCUAGCGUUGUUCGGAAUGACUGGGCGUAAAGGGUGCGUAGGUGGCGAGGUAAGUCGGAUGUGAAAGCUCGGAGCUCAACUCCGAAAUGGCAUUGGAAACUACCUUGCUCGAGGGUUGGAGGGGGGACUGGAAUACUUGGUGUAGCAGUGAAAUGCGUAGAUAUCAAGUGGAACACCAGUGGCGAAGGCGAGUCCCUGGACAACUCCUGACACUGAGGCACGAAAGCUAGGGGAGCAAACAGG
rnacentral:rRNA from 1 species